rnacentral:rRNA from 1 species
GAUGAACGCUGGCGGCGUGCUUAAUACAUGCAAGUCGAGCGAACGGACGAGAAGCUUGCUUCUCUGAUGUUAGCGGCGGACGGGUGAGUAACACGUGGAUAACCUACCUAUAAGACUGGGAUAACUUCGGGAAACCGGAGCUAAUACCGGAUAAUAUUUUGAACCGCAUGGUUCAAAAGUGAAAGACGGUCUUGCUGUCGCUUAUAGAUGGAUCCGCGCUGCAUUAGCUAGUUGGUAAGGUAACGGCUUACCAAGGCAACGAUGCAUAGCCGACCUGAGAGGGUGAUCGGCCACACUGGAACUGAGACACGGUCCAGACUCCUACGGGAGGCAGCAGUAGGGAAUCUUCCGCAAUGGGCGAAAGCCUGACGGAGCAACGCCGCGUGAGUGAUGAAGGUCUUCGGAUCGUAAAACUCUGUUAUUAGGGAAGAACAUAUGUGUAAGUAACUGUGCACAUCUUGACGGUACCUAAUCAGAAAGCCACGGCUAACUACGUGCCAGCAGCCGCGGUAAUACGUAGGUGGCAAGCGUUAUCCGGAAUUAUUGGGCGUAAAGCGCGCGUAGGCGGUUUUUUAAGUCUGAUGUGAAAGCCCACGGCUCAACCGUGGAGGGUCAUUGGAAACUGGAAAACUUGAGUGCAGAAGAGGAAAGUGGAAUUCCAUGUGUAGCGGUGAAAUGCGCAGAGAUAUGGAGGAACACCAGUGGCGAAGGCGACUUUCUGGUCUGUAACUGACGCUGAUGUGCGAAAGCGUGGGGAUCAAACAGGAUUAGAUACCCUGGUAGUCCACGCCGUAAACGAUGAGUGCUAAGUGUUAGGGGGUUUCCGCCCCUUAGUGCUGCAGCUAACGCAUUAAGCACUCCGCCUGGGGAGUACGACCGCAAGGUUGAAACUCAAAGGAAUUGACGGGGACCCGCACAAGCGGUGGAGCAUGUGGUUUAAUUCGAAGCAACGCGAAGAACCUUACCAAAUCUUGACAUCCUUUGACAACCCUAGAGAUAGAGCUUUCCCCUUCGGGGGACAAAGUGACAGGUGGUGCAUGGUUGUCGUCAGCUCGUGUCGUGAGAUGUUGGGUUAAGUCCCGCAACGAGCGCAACCCUUAAGCUUAGUUGCCAUCAUUAAGUUGGGCACUCUAAGUUGACUGCCGGUGACAAACCGGAGGAAGGUGGGGAUGACGUCAAAUCAUCAUGCCCCUUAUGAUUUGGGCUACACACGUGCUACAAUGGACAAUACAAAGGGCAGCGAAACCGCGAGGUCAAGCAAAUCCCAUAAAGUUGUUCUCAGUUCGGAUUGUAGUCUGCAACUCGACUACAUGAAGCUGGAAUCGCUGGUAAUCGUAGAUCAGCAUGCUACGGUGAAUACGUUCCCGGGUCU